rnacentral:rRNA from 1 species
UACGGAGGGGGCUAGCGUUGUUCGGAAUUACUGGGCGUAAAGCGCACGUAGGCGGCUUUCUAAGUCGGGGGUGAAAUCCUGGAGCUCAACUCCAGAACUGCCUUCGAUACUGGAGAGCUUGAGUUCGGGAGAGGAGAGUGGAAUUCCCAGUGUAGAGGUGAAAUUCGUAGAUAUUGGGAAGGAACACCGGAUGGCGAAGGCGGCUCUCUGGACCGAGACUGACGCUGAGGCGCGAAAGCGUGGGGGAGCAAACAGGG